rnacentral:lncRNA from 1 species
GGGCCACACCACCGUCCAGCGCCAACAUAGCGCCGGACGUCCAAGUCGCAGACCGCUGAGCGUCCAGUGAGCGUUGAGCGUUCAGCGUGGCCACCGCUAAGCGUUAGCUAGCGCUGAGCGCCUAAAUUAAUGGGCCUGGGCCGAAUUUCUGUUAUUUUUAUGGCCUAAAAAUAGACCUAGUGCGAUUCUCAGAGUAAUCUUUUGGCAAUCAGAGACGUCCAGAGCUUCUUCU